CAAAGAUAGGUUAUAAGCGAAUGGUGGAUGCCUAGGGAUAUUAGAGCUAUGAAAGACGUGGCGUGCCUGCGAUAAGCAUCGGGGAGGUGGCUAGCAACCUUUGAUCCGGUGAUGUCUGAAUGAGGAAACUCUAUUGUGGUAAUGCGCAAUAAUCAUUGCAGUUAUGCAAUGAAGCUAACCCGCUGAAGUGAAACAUCUCAGUAAGCGGAGGAAAAGAGAACAAAUGUUUAUUCCCCAAGUAGUGGCGAGCGAAAAGGGAAGAGCCCAAACCAAUUUUUAUAAUUGGGGUUGCAAGGUUAUAGCGUCGGGGGCAUUAUUCAGAUCUUGAGAAAUCAAGAAUUGAAUAAUAUCUGCCGAGGGAGAGAAUUUAGGUAAUUAUUUAGAAAAAGCACCCUGGAAAGGGGCACCAUAGAGGGUAAUAGUCCCGUAUUUUAAAAAUAUUUUACGCUCCUUGCUAUUUUUCUUAAGUACUGUCGGGAAUGAUAACCUGGCAGGAAACAAGCCGAACUAUCGGCUAAGGCUAAAUAUCUAAUAUCACCAAUAGUGAACCAGUACCGUGAGGGAAAGGUGAAAAGUAGGGGGUUGACCCCGGUGAAAUAGAACCUGAAACCAUUUGCUUACAAAG
rfam:Candidatus Staskawiczbacteria bacterium RIFCSPHIGHO2_01_FTLL_34_27 rifcsphigho2_01_scaffold_17034, whole genome shotgun sequence.